GGAACCGUGAGGAAUCAUCUGAAGGAAGUUGGAGUGCAAAACUAUGAGCGGACGAACAGCAACAGCAUAUAGAAGUUGCUCUGUUUUUGUUACUAUUUCAGGUUGUCCAU
rfam:Desulfobacterium vacuolatum DSM 3385 genome assembly, contig: Ga0002809_117